rnacentral:tRNA from 1 species
AGGGUUAUAGUUUAAGUAAAAAACAUUCAACUUGCAAUUGAAAGAUAGAAACCUUAAAACUUAAUUUUU